AUAUUGGCAUAAUCAGUUAAUUGAUAUCAAAGCCGUUAUACAUCUCUAUACCCCGGGUCCUGCCAAACUGAUCGUCAGUAUAGGCCUGCCUCAUUCUUGAUCUACCCGCCUCUACCUAUCGCUCGAUCGACCUUGACCCCGAGACGCGGAAAUCAAAGGAGACGGUGUGGAGAAGGUAUUCGUGAAGUGAAGUGAGACGGACAGACACAAACACUAACAGCCUACAGUCAUUGGAAACGCUACCUAUAAUAUUUACGGUACUAUAGGAUACUCUAGGAUACUAUAUGAUACUAUAGCUGCACGAUCCUGAUAGGAUAUAAUACAAUACUGUAGGAUAACAAGCGACACCAUCAAUAAUGGCGACACGCCUGGUUCUGUCUCUUUUCUUCAUUUAUGGGGUUAUGGUUCUCCAAACAAAAGGGAAUAAUGAAUUGAUGGGAUCUUCUAGUCAUAAUGAAGAAUUGGUCUCUGUCGACAAUGCAACAACCGUUCAAAUGACCAUGACAACCGUACCAUCGAACAUGACAACCGUUCCUUCGACCAUGACAACCGUUCCUUUCAACAUGACAACCGUUCCUUCCAACAUGACAACCGUUCCUUCGAACAUGACAACCGUUCCUUCGACCAUGACAACCGUGCCUUCCAACAUGACAACCGUUCCUUCGACCAUGACAACCAUGCCUUCCAACAUGACAACCGUUCCUUCCAACAUGACAACCGUUCCUUCCAACAUGACAACCGUGCCUUCCAACAUGACAACUGUUCCUUCCAACAUGACAACCAUGCCUUCCAACAUGACAACCGUUCCUUCCAACAUGACGACUGUUCCGUCGAACAUGACAACCAUACCAUCGAACAUGACAACCGUACCAUCGAACAUGACAACCGUUCCUACCAACAUGACAACCGUUCCUUCCAACAUGACAACUGUUCCAUCCAACAUGACAACCGUGCCUUCCAACAUGACAACCGUACCAUCCAACAUGACAACCGUUCCCUCGAAUAUGACAACUGGGCAUUCAACCAUGACCACACGAAUUAACCCCACAGUUACUCCCUCGCCGUCGAAAUCAAAGUUCAGCACCGGCACAUUCUUCGGAGGCAUAGGCGUGGGGAUUGUAAUUGUCUUCAUUGUAAUGGCGGGAAUCUACGGUGUUAGAAAAAGAAGGCGGGUGCUUGAAGAAAAAGUGCAAUAUAAAACUAUAGAAUGAGAAAUAUGAGAGAGAGAGAGAGAGAGAGAGAGAGAGAGAGAGAGAGAGAGAGAGAGAGAGAGAGAUGUGAAUGUGUGUGUAUUUAUAUAGUUACACAAGUGUACAAGAAAAAUUUCCAGAUAUUUAAAUUCACUGUAAAUGUUAUUUUGACAGUUACUUAAGAAAAGGGAGCCGGGGAUCGAGAAAGAUUGUGGUCCAGACAUUCCAUUGUAUCUCCUUACUUCAAAAUAUCAAACAUUUUCAUGGGUUUUUUGUUAGCUGUAUGUAAAGCAUUGUUCAUUUAUUACAGGUUUUUUUUUUCAAUCUAGCUGUGUUAACGUUAAAAACAAAUGUCAAAUAUGUUUUCUUCUUAAUUUCGAUUCUACAGAUUUCUAAUAUGCUUGGUUUACUAUUAGUGCAUCAUAUCCAACCCCAAUAAACAACUACGUUAGAUAAUUUAC
rnacentral:sRNA from 1 species